AUGCUGCUCUUCGUCGCCCGCGUACUAGUGCUACAGCAGGUGCUGCUGGUCGCCGCCGCCGCACGUAGUGCUGUACUGCUGUUGGUACUGCUCAAGUCUCGUGCCUCGGCGCUGGCCAGCUGCGUAGACUCUUGUGCUCUGAACGAAUGGCAGCUGAUGCGAUGCAUAAUCCUGGCUCUUGGAGCGGGAGCAAUCACUGAUGCGUAUUAG
rnacentral:rRNA from 1 species